AGAGUUUGAUCCUGGCUCAGGAUAAACGACUGGCGGCGCACAUAAGACAUGCAAGUCGAACGAAUUUAGGCCCAUUCAUUACGAUUGGGUACGGUUAGUGGCGGACUGGUGAGUAACACGUAAGCAACCUGCCUGUAAGAGGGGAAUAACAGUGAGAAAUCAUUGCUAAUACCGCAUAUGCUCACACUAACACAUGUAAGAGUGAGGAAAGGAGCAAUCCACUUACAGAUGGGCUUGCGUCUGAUUAGCUAGUUGGUGGGGUAAAGGCCUACCAAGGCGACGAUCAGUAGCCGGACUGAGAGGUUGAACGGCCACAUUGGGACUGAGAUACGGCCCAGACUCCUACGGGAGGCAGCAGUCGGGAAUAUUGCGCAAUGGAGGAAACUCUGACGCAGUGGCGCCGCGUAUAGGGAGAAGUUUUCGGAAUGUAAACUAUUGUCGUUAGGGAAGAGAAAGGACGGUACCUAAGGAGGAAGCCCCGGCUAACUAUGUG
rnacentral:rRNA from 1 species